GGGGUUGUGGCUCAGUGGUAGAGCACUUGCCUAUAGAGCGAGAGGCAUGAAGUUCUCUAUUGUCAGCACCA
rnacentral:tRNA from 1 species